CGGUGAAUACGUUCCCGGACCUUGCACACAUCGCCCGUCAAGCCAUGGAAGCCGGGUGUACCUAAAGUCGGUAACCGUAAGGAGCCGCCUAGGGUAAAACUGGUGACUGGGGCU
rnacentral:rRNA from 1 species